rnacentral:rRNA from 1 species
GAUAACUGGCUUGUGGCAGCCAAGUGUUCAUAGUGAUGUUUCUUUUUGAUCCUUCGAUGUCGGCUCUUCCUAUCAUUGUGAAGCAGAAUUCACCAAGCGUUGGAUUGUUCACCUACUAAUAGGGAACGUGAGCUGGGUUUAGACAGUUGUGAGACAGGAC